rnacentral:rRNA from 1 species
UGGGGAAUAUUGGACAAUGGGCGCAAGCCUGAUCCAGCCAUGCCGCGUGAGUGAUGAAGGCCCUAGGGUUGUAAAGCUCUUUCACCGGUGAAGAUAAUGACGGUAACCUGAGAAGAAGCCCCGGCUAACUUCGUGCCAGCAGCCGCGGUAAUACGAAGGGGGCUAGCGUUGUUCGGAUUUACUGGGCGUAAAGCGCACGUAGGCGGACUAGUAAGUCAGGGGUGAAAUCCCGGGGCUCAACCCCGGAACUGCCUUUGAUACUGGUAGUCUUGAGUUCGAGAGAGGUGAGUGGAAAUCCGAGUGUAUAGGUGAAAUUCGUAGAUAUUCGGAGGAAAACCAGUGGCGAAGGCGGAUCACUGGCUCGAUACUGACGCUGGGGUGCGAAAGCGUGGGGAGCAAACAGG